CCUACGGGGAGCAGCAGUGAGGAAUAUUGGUCAAUGGACGAGAGUCUGAACCAGCCAAGUAGCGUGAAGGAUGACUGCCCUAUGGGUUGUAAACUUCUUUUAUAUGGGAAUAAAAUGUUCCACGUGUGGGAUUUUGUAUGUACCAUAUGAAUAAGGAUCGGCUAACUCCGUGCCAGCAGCCGCGGUAAUACGGAGGAUCCGAGCGUUAUCCGGAUUUAUUGGGUUUAAAGGGAGCGUAGGUGGAUUGUUAAGUCAGUUGUGAAAGUUUGCGGCUCAACCGUAAAAUUGCAGUUGAAACUGGCAGUCUUGAGUACAGUAGAGGUGGGCGGAAUUCGUGGUGUAGCGGUGAAAUGCUUAGCUAUCACGAAGAACUCCGAUUGCGAAGGCAGUUCACUGGACUGCAACUGACACUGAGGCUCGAAAGUGUGGGUAUCAAACAGGAUUAGAUACCCCGGUAGUC
rnacentral:rRNA from 1 species